CGCAAGGCCAAAAGGCGGAGAAGGGUAGCCGGCCUGAGAGGGCGACCGGCCACACUGGGACUGAGACACGGCCCAGACUCCUACGGGAGGCAGCAGUGGGGAAUAUUGCACAAUGGGCGAAAGCCUGAUGCAGCGACGCCGCGUGAGGGAUGACGGCCUUCGGGUUGUAAACCUCUUUCAGCAGGGAAGAAGCGAAAGUGACGGUACCUGCAGAAGAAGCGCCGGCUAACUACGUGCCAGCAGCCGCGGUAAUACGUAGGGCGCAAGCGUUGUCCGGAAUUAUUGGGCGUAAAGAGCUCGUAGGCGGCUUGUCACGUCGGAUGUGAAAGCCCGGGGCUUAACCCCGGGUCUGCAUUCGAUACGGGCUAGCUAGAGUGUGGUAGGGGAGAUCGGAAUUCCUGGUGUAGCGGUGAAAUGCGCAGAUAUCAGGAGGAACACCGGUGGCGAAGGCGGAUCUCUGGGCCAUUACUGACGCUGAGGAGCGAAAGCGUGGGGAGCGAACAGGAUUAGAUACCCUGGUAGUCCACGCCGUAAACGUUGGGAACUAGGUGUUGGCGACAUUCCACGUCGUCGGUGCCGCAGCUAACGCAUUAAGUUCCCCGCCGGGGG
rnacentral:rRNA from 1 species